rnacentral:misc_RNA from 1 species
GCGCAGCUGUCCGCGGUUGCAUUGUUCCGAAUAUUAUGAAGCAGACAGCCUGUGAAGACAGCUCACUGAACGGCGCUGGUGUAGCUGUCUGGAAAGGAGAUAUCUGGGCCACGUCUCCGCGCUUCCUCAGACAAAACGCGCUUCUCAAGCAAACUUAACGCCGGCAAGCGGGACCAUGAGUAGUACUUGGCUAACGGCUCUCAUCCUGACGACCUUGUGCGCCUCCCAGAGCCUGGCGCAUCCACACAUCAGGUCGUUCGCGGCCAGCUCUUUCCAAGAGAUGAGUACGGGUCCAAACGGUAUAGUGCUGGGCCGACAAGGUUACCAUGACUCGAGGGGUCAUGGGCACUUCAUCUCCUACACGGUGGACAAAGGCGGCCAGGUUCACAUUCGACAAGAUCCCACUGGAAAGGUUUUCCUGACUAACCUGGAGAAGACACCAUUCCCGCAUGCCUUUCACUUGUUCAGGUCACUGCUAACUCCCGAUUUUGGUCUGUCUUCGUUGAAACUUCUACCGCGAUUCCACCAGCCAUUUCUGUGCCUUUUGAAUCCUUGCAGCAGCGAUUCUUACACCAACCGGCAUGAUGAUGAGUACAUGAGGAUGAUGCAUGGCAUUGCUUAGGCCAACAUGACGCACCUACCUACGAGAAUUGUCAAUACCUUAGCAUGGCAACUUGCCUGGCUUUUGUUUUAUAUUUAUCCAUGACAUAAGUAUCUUCAACAGGAGGUCCCGAUACAGUCCUCGACUAUGGGACCUCCUUUUGUAUACUAUACACAUGUAAUUUCCUGUAUUUUUACCAAUAAAUAAAUUACGAAAUUACCAAUAAAUAAAUUAUGAAAUAAAAAAGGAGACAAAGA